ensembl:miRNA MIR365A microRNA 365a
UUUGCGCAGGGAAAAUGAGGGACUUUUGGGGGCAGCUGUGUUUUUCCAUGCUACCAUAAUGCCCCUAAAAAUCCUUAUUGCUCUUGCCGUAU